rnacentral:rRNA from 1 species
UACGACUACAUAUCAGGCAUAUCAAUAAGCGGAGGAAAAGAAACUAACAAGGAUUCCCUUAGUAACGGCGAGUGAAGCGGGAAGAGCUCAAAUUUGAAAUCUUCAAGGUUUUACCUUGACGAAUUGUAGUUUAAAGAAGUGUUUUCUGUUGAAGUUUUGGUAAAAGUUCUUUGGAAUAGGACAUCAUAGAGGGCGAGAAUCCCGUAUUUGACCAUUAUUUUCAGCUGUGUGAUACACUUUCAAAGAGUCGGAUUGUUUGGGAAUGCAGUCCAAAAUGGGUGGUAAAUUCAUCUAAAGCUAAAUAUUGGCGAGAGACCGAUAGCGAACAAGUACCGUGAGGGAAAGAUGAAAAGAACUUUGAAAAGAGAGUUAAACAGUACGUGAAAUUGUCAAAAGGGAAGCGUUUGACACCAGUGUUGUUUUCUCGAAAAUCAAUUAAAAAGAGUUGGAUUUUGUGUUGUAUUGACCUUAACAGCUUGCUUCACUCUUUUCCAGCUUUUUUUAAUGCACUUUUCGUUUAACAAGUCAACAUCAGUUUCUUUUGUUGUAAAAGGGUCAUUGGAAGGUGGCUUUCUCUUCGGAGAAAGUGUUUAUAGCCUUUGAUCUCUGCAAUCGGAGAGACUGAGGUCUGCAGCGUAGAUCCUUCGGGGUUAGAUACAUCUGUGCUAAGCUACAGCUUUUCAUAGACAACUUGUUGACUAUGUUUAGUCUUGUGACUUACCCGCUUAUGCUAUUUUACCUACGCUUAGGAUGUUGAGCGCAUGUCUCUCUCU